GUCCUAGCUGUAAACGAUGAACACUAGGCGUUGCUUGUAUCGACCCGAGCAGUGCCGUAGCCAACGCGUUAAGUGUUCCGCCUGGGGAGUACGCACGCAAGUGUGAAACUCAAAGGAAUUGACGGGGGCCCCGCACAAGCGGUGGAGUAUGUGGUUUAAUUCGAUGCAACGCGAAGAACCUUACCAGGACUUGACAUCUCGAGAAUCCGCUCUAAUAGGCGGAGUGCCUUAGGGAACUCGAAGACAGGUGGUGCAUGGCUGUCGU
rnacentral:rRNA from 1 species